rnacentral:rRNA from 1 species
UACGUAGGGGGCUAGCGUUGUCCGGAAUCAUUGGGCGUAAAGCGCGUGUAGGCAGUCCGGUAAGUCCGCUGUGAAAGUCGGGGGCUCAACCCUCGAAUGCCGGUGGAUACUGUCGGGCUAGAGUGCGGAAGAGGCGAGUGGAAUUCCUGGUGUAGCGGUGAAAUGCGCAGAUAUCAGGAGGAACACCAAUUGCGAAGGCAGCUCGCUGGGACGUAACUGACGCUGAGACGCGAAAGCGUGGGGAGCAAACAGG